UCCCUGGAGGACUAGUGGUUAGGCCAUAGCGCUCUCACCGCCGCAGCCUGGGUUCGAUUCCCAGCUAGGGAA
rnacentral:tRNA from 1 species